AUGUGGCACUCACCCCACUUGUGCAAGCCCCCAGGGCUCUGUCAGGGCCUCCUCUCCGGCUGUGGCACUCAGCAGGCCUCCUCCCCCAGAGGAGACCAGCUAUGGGGUGGGUCCUGGUGGCACUGCUGCUACUGCCUGCAGGAGUCCUGACAGCUGAGGCAGAAACUAUGGGAUGACCCAGCCUGAACAAAUCUCUGCCACCCUGGGAGUCUCUGUUGAAAUCCCCUUCAACUUCUUCUACCCUUGGGAGUUGGCCUCAGAUCCUGAGAAGGAGGACGACACCACAUAAUACUGCCACAUCCAAUUAAAGACAAAGAAUGAGGGCAAGCAGUUGUGGUGAUCCAUCCGUGGGACCAAACUCACCAUCACUGAAGGAGAAUCUGCUGACUUCUGAUCUUUCCCCAGCCAUCAAGACCACCACCCAGAUGAAGACCACCACUGAGAGAAGCACCAGUGUAGCCUCUGAAGUUACCUCAGCCAGUUUCACAGUUUCAAAGUCUCAACUCCUGAGUCUGGGAGCCAUUGUUGGGGUGGCAGUGGCCACUGUUAUACUCAUAACCAGGGUGCUAGUACUGAUAGCCUUCCUCAGGUGGAGAAAGAAAAGUAAGUGGCCCAGGGUUGGCCUUCCAUUGUAUUCCCAAAUGAGUGUUUUAGAACUCACUUGCAUUGUAAACACUUAAGAUGCUUAUUAAAAAUGCAGAUAUCUG